UUUUUUUUUUUUGGUUACAAAAGUAUUUAUUUUAUAAAACUUGUAUUUAAAAUAGAGCUUAUCUGUCUACUCACAAAUCCUAAUUUAAAACAUAACACAUUAUCCUUAGCUAAUCUGAUGUUACCCUUUACAAUCAACACUCAUUUUUGUAAUUUUAUUAAGAACCUGUACUAAAUUAAGUUUUUAAUCAGAAAACAUUCCCUUUUAUCUUAAAAGUGCUUCUUAAAUGAAGGCACCAACAAGAACUACUUUCAGAUGGUACAGAAUUUCUUAUUUCUUGAAGACUCUGUGGUUGACCACUUCUUCAUUAGUUACCUGCAGCAAGACACCUUCCCAUGGUAAGUAGGAAGAAGCUCAAUAUCGGCUCCUUCCACCAUAGCCCCCACUUCCUCCACUUCCUCCAGGACCAUAGUUCCCUCCACCAUAUGGUCCUCCCAUGUUCCUGCUACCACCAAAGUUUCCACUCUUCAUUGGACCGUAGUUAGAAGGUUGCUGGUUAUAAUUUCCAAAAUCAUUGUAAUUUCCACUUCCAUAAUUUCCUCCUCCAUAGUUGUCAUAACCACCUCUGUAGCUCCCACCCUGGUUGCCAUAUCCAGGGCUACCUCCAAAAUUGCCACCUCUAGGUCCUCCUCCAUACCCAUUAUAGCCAUCCCCAAAUCCACGUCCACUUCCAUAUCCAUCAGAACCCCCCCUAAAGUUGCUUCCUGGUCCUGGUCCAGAAUUGCCACCGCCACCUCGAGAAUCUCCAAAACCAAAGUUUCCUCCUCUUCCACUCCUAGAAUUUUGGACUUCCUGCAUUUCUUGUCUAGACAAUGCCUUUCUAACUUCUGCAUUGUGACCAUUUAUGGUGUGAUAUUUCUGCAAGACAAUUUUAUCCACAGGAUCAUGGUCAUCAAAGGUAACAAAGCCAAAGCCUCUUUUUUUCCAGACUGUCUAUCAGUAAUUAUUUCAAUAGUAUCAAUUUUUCCAUAUUCUUCAAAGUAAUCUCUAAGGUGAUGCUCCUCAGUAUCUUCCUUAAUUCCACCAACGAACAGUUUCUUCACAGUCACAUGGGCUCCUGGUUUCCCAGACUCCUCUCUUGCCACAGCACGUUUUGGCUCAACCACCCUGCCAUCAAUGGAAUGAGGCCUUGCAGCCAUGGCAACAUCAACCUCAGCCAUGGAUGAGAAAGUUACAAAGCCAAAUCCUCUUGAUCUUUUGCUUGCAGGAUCCCGCAUAACCACACAGUCUGUGAGCUUUCCCCAUUGCUCGUAGUAGUUUCUCAAACUUUCUUCUGUGGUUUCAAAGCUUAAGCCACCAAUAAAGAGCUUACAGAACUGUUCCUUUUCUCUCUCCAUCGCGAACUCAGUCGCUUCAGCUCGAUUUCCCGCAGCCGAGCGAGAAGAGAAAGACCUCCGCGGACGGACACGCACGGGACUCGUCCUGACUUUGUGGUGAGAGCAGCCGAUGGCCAAGAAACUGUGCCGCUCGG
ensembl:lncRNA